GACGAACGCUGGCGGCGUGCUUAACACAUGCAAGUCGUGCGGUAAGGCCCUUUCGGGGGUCCACGAGCGGCGAACGGGUGAGUAACACGUGAGCAACCUGCCCUUCACUUUGGGAUAACUGCCGGAAACGGUGGCUAAUACCGGAUAUGACUUCCUCACGCAUGUGGGGUGGUGGAAAGCCUUCGGGUGGUGGGGGAUGGGCUCGCGGUCUAUCAGCUUGUUGGUGGGGUGAUGGCCUACCAAGGCUUCGACGGGUAGCCGGCCUGAGAAGGUGACCGGCCACAAUGGGACUGAGACACGGCCCAGACUCCAAUGGGAGGCAGCAGGGGGGAAUAUUGGACAAUGGGCGAAAGCCUGAUCCAGCAACGCCGCGUGAGGGAUGACGGCCUUCGGGUUGUAAACCUCUUUCGCCUGCGACGAAGCGAGAGUGACGGUAGCAGGUAAAGAAGCACCGGCCAACUACGUG
rnacentral:rRNA from 1 species